UAUUUUUGUUGAAUACUAGUAGUUUAAGUUGCAGUUUGAAUAAAAAAAGGCGAACCAAAUCAAAUUUCCCUAAUUUGUUUGAUUUCAUUUCCACAGAGUUUCAUGGUUAAUGAUGUUCUAAGUGGUUCAAUAAUUUACAAGGCAACCUGAUAU